rnacentral:rRNA from 1 species
AGUGAACGCUGGCGGUAGGCCUAACACAUGCAAGUCGAACGGCAGCACAGUAAGAGCCUGCUCUUACGGGUGGUGAGUGGCGGACGGGUGAGGAAUACAUCGGAAUCUACUUUUUCGUGGGGGAUAACGUAGGGAAACUUACGCUAAUACCGCAUACGACCUACGGGUGAAAGCAGGGGAUCUUCGGACCUUGCGCGAUUGAAUGAGCCGAUGUCGGAUUAGCUAGUUGGCGGGGUAAAGGCCCACCAAGGCGACGAUCCGUAGCUGGUCUGAGAGGAUGAUCAGCCACACUGGAACUGAGACACGGUCCAGACUCCUACGGGAGGCAGCAGUGGGGAAUAUUGGACAAUGGGCGCAAGCCUGAUCCAGCCAUACCGCGUGGGUGAAGAAGGCCUUCGGGUUGUAAAGCCCUUUUGUUGGGAAAGAAAAGCAGCAGGUUAAUACCCCGCUGUUCUGACGGUACCCAAAGAAUAAGCACCGGCUAACUUCGUG